rnacentral:rRNA from 1 species
AUGAGUCCAGACGCUACCAUGCACCAUGCACGCACGCAUGAAGAGUCAUCUCAUCUCAUUCGUAUAAAUACAGUGGGGUUUCGAGGCGAAGCAGAGCCAUGCACGCACUUGCACUCCUUUGAUCCUCCUAUCCUACAGGUGCCAGAGCUCAAAGCCAUGGCGUCGCCGUUUUCCGCCCCUUCUUUGAUCAUGGAGGAGGAAGGGCGGUUCGAGGCGGAGGUGGCCGAGGUGGGGGCGUGGUGGAACACGGAGAGGUUCCGGCUCACCAAGCGCCCCUACACCGCCCGCGACGUCGUCCUCCUCCGCGGCACGCUCCGCCAGAGCUACGCCUCCGGCGAAAUGGCCAAGAAGCUCUGGCGCACGCUCAAGGCCCACCAGGCCGGCGGCACGGCCUCGCGCACGUUCGGCGCGCUCGACCCCGUGCAGGUGACGAUGAUGGCCAAGCAUCUGGACACCAUCUACGUGUCCGGGUGGCAGUGCUCGUCCACGCACACCUCCACGAACGAGCCGGGGCCGGACCUCGCGGACUACCCCUACGACACCGUGCCCAACAAGGUCGAGCACCUCUUCUUCGCGCAGCAGUACCACGACCGGAAGCAGCAGGAGGCGCGCAUGUCUCUGCCCCGCGCGGAGCGCGCCCACGCGCCUUUCGUCGACUUCCUCAAGCCCAUCAUCGCCGACGGCGACACUGGCUUCGGCGGCGCCACUGCCACUGUCAAGCUCUGCAAGCUCUUCGUCGAGCGCGGGGCAGCCGGGGUCCACCUGGAGGACCAGUCGUCGGUGACCAAGAAGUGCGGCCACAUGGCGGGGAAGGUGCUCGUCGCCGUCUCCGAGCACGUCAACCGCCUCGUCGCCGCUCGGCUGCAGUUCGACAUCAUGGGCGUCGAGACCGUCCUCGUUGCCCGCACCGACGCCGUCGCCGCGACGCUGAUCCAGACCAACAUCGACGCGCGUGACCACCAGUUCAUCCUUGGCGCAACGAACCCGCGCCUCAAAAACCGGAGCCUCACGGCCAUGCUCUCCGACGCCAUGUCGGCCGGCAAGAACGGCAGGGAGCUGCAGGCCAUCGAGGACGAGUGGACCGCCACGGCGCAGCUCAAAACCUUCUCCGAGUGCGUCAAGGACGCCAUCGCGAGGCUCAACAGCACCGACCUGGACAAGCAACGUAAGCUCCAGGAGUGGAGCAAGGCCACCAGCUACGACAAGUGCGUGUCCCACGAGCAAGCGCGCGACAUCGCCGCGAGCCUGGGAGUCGGGUCCGUGUUCUGGGACUGGGAUCUGCCACGGACCAGGGAAGGGUUCUACCGCUUCCAGGGCUCCGUGGCGUCGGCCGUGGUCCGCGGGCGCGCCUUCGCGCCGCACGCCGACGUGCUGUGGAUGGAGACGUCGAGCCCAAACAUCGCCGAGUGCACGGCCUUCGCCGAGGGCGUGAGGGCGGCUUUCCCGGAGGCGAUGCUGGCCUACAACCUCUCGCCAUCGUUCAACUGGGACGCGUCAGGCAUGACGGACGCCGACAUGGCGGCGUUCAUCCCGCACGUCGCCAAGCUCGGGUACGUGUGGCAGUUCAUCACGCUGGCCGGGUUCCACGCCGACGCGCUCGUCACCGACACGUUCGCGCGGGACUUCGCCCGGCGCGGCAUGCUGGCCUAUGUGGAGAGGAUCCAGCGGGAGGAGAGGAGGAAUGGGGUGGAGACUCUGGAGCACCAGAAGUGGUCGGGUGCCAACUUCUAUGACAGGGUGCUCAAGACCGUGCAGGGCGGCAUGUCCUCAACCGCAGCCAUGGGAAAAGGAGCUACUGAAGAGCAGUUCUGGACUAAGCCUGGAAGCGAGGGCAGUAGUCAACAUGUUCUUGCCAAGUCCAGGAUGUGA